rnacentral:rRNA from 1 species
CGCUGGCGGCAGGCCUAACACAUGCAAGUCGAGCGGAAGGUUCUUCGGAACCGAGAGCGGCGGACGGGUGAGGAUAGCGUGGGAAUCUGCCUGUAGAUGGGGAUAGCCCGGAGAAAUCCGGAUUAAUACCGCAUAAUACCUGAGGGUUAAAGUGGAGGAUCGCAAGACUUCACGUCUACAGAUGAGCCCACGUCAGAUUAGCUAGUUGGUAGGGUAAAGGCCUACCAAGGCGACGAUCUGUAGCUGGCCUGAGAGGGUGGCCAGCCACACUGGAACUGAGACACGGUCCAGACUCCUACGGGAGGCAGCAGUGGGGAAUAUUGGACAAUGGGCGCAAGCCUGAUCCAGCCAUGCCGCGUGUGUGAAGAAGGCCUUCGGGUUGUAAAGCACUUUAAGUUGGGAGGAAGGUUCGAUGGAUAAUACCCAUCGGAAUUGACGUUACCAACAGAAUAAGCACCGGCUAAUUCCGUG